AGAACUUAGCAGAGAUGCUUUGGUGCCUUCGGGAACUCUGAGACAGGUGCUGCAUGGCUGUCGUCAGCUCGUGUUGUGAGAUGUUGGGUUAAGUCCCGCAACGAGCGCAACCCUUAUCCUUUGUUGCCAGCGGUCCGGCCGGGAACUCAAAGGAGACUGCCAGUGAUAAACUGGAGGAAGGUGGGGAUGACGUCAAGUCAUCAUGGCCCUUACGAGUAGGGCUACACACGUGCUACAAUGGCGCAUACAAAGAGAAGCGACCUCGCGAGAGCAAGCGGACCUCAUAAAGUGCGUCGUAGUCCGGAUUGGAGUCUGCAACUCGACUCCAUGAAGUCGGAAUCGCUAGUAAUCGUAGAUCAGAAUGCUACGGUGAAUACGUUCCCGGGCCUUGUACACACCGCCCGUCACACCAUGGGAGUGGGCUGCAAAAGAAGUAGGUAGCUUAACCUUCGGGAGGGCGCUUACCACUUUGUGAUUCAUGACUGGGGUGAAGUCGUAACAAGGUAGGCGUAGCGAG
rnacentral:rRNA from 1 species